rnacentral:sRNA from 1 species
CAAAUACAACAUAAACAAACCAGUCAUUGAACAAUUCACCCAAACACACAUUCACCACACCUACAUAUCAUCACAUAAAACAAAUCAUACAACCCAAUCGCUCAGAUAAGCUCGUGGUCACGCACUCACCUUAACAAAUUGAUCCUAACAAUAAUUAAACCAGGAGAGACUCUCCUUGCGUCUGAAACAGUCCAGAACCGCCCUACAACAAGUCCACAACCAAAAAAACCUUGAAGCAAACUGGACAGGAAAAAUCAGAAACAAGCAGUCUCAAAGACGAAACCCUAAAAUACAAACUAACCGUUAACUAUUCAAUCGCCCCGGUGAAACCCUA